ensembl:snRNA U6 U6 spliceosomal RNA
AUGCUCACUUUGGCAGCACAUACACUAAAAUUGGAAUGAUACAGAGAAGAUUAGGAUGGCCCCUAUGCAAGGAUCACAUGCAAAUUUGUGAAGUUCCAUAUAAUUUU